CCUACGGGAGGCAGCAGUGGGGAAUCUUGCACAAUGGAGGAAACUCUGAUGCAGCGAUGCCGCGUGAGUGAAGAAGGCCUUUGGGUUGUAAAGCUCUUUUGUAGGGGAAGAUAAUGACUGUACCCUAAGAAUAAGGUCCGGCUAACUUCGUGCCAGCAGCCGCGGUAAUACGAAGGGACCUAGCGUAGUUCGGAAUUACUGGGCGUAAAGCGCGCGUAGGCCGUUGAGUUAGUUAAUUGUGAAAUCCCAAAGCUUAACUUUGGAACUGCAAUUAAAACUGCUCGACUAGAGUUUGAUAGAGGAAAGCGGAAUACAUAGUGUAGAGGUGAAAUUCGUAGAUAUUAUGUAGAACACCAGUUGCGAAGGCGGCUUUCUGGAUCAACACUGACGCUGAGGCGCGAAAGUAUGGGUAGCAAAGAGGAUUAGAUACCCUCGUAGUCCAUACCAUAAACGAUGAUUGCUAGAUGUUGGAAAUUUAUUUCAGUAUCGCAGCUAACGCAUUAAGCAAUCCGCCUGGGGAUACGACCGCAAGGUUAAAACUCAAAUGAAUUGACGGCUGAGACGNGCGAGACGACGACGAGGAGAG
rnacentral:rRNA from 1 species